rnacentral:rRNA from 1 species
GACGUAGGGACCGAGCGUUGUCCGGAUUUAUUGGGCGUAAAGCGCGCGCAGGCGGCCGUGCAAGUCGGAUGUGAAAAUCCGGAGCUCAACUCCGGACCUGCAUUCGAAACUGCACGGCUAGAGGUAGGUAGGGGAGAUCGGAAUUCCUGGUGUAGCGGUGAAAUGCGCAGAUAUCAGGAGGAACACCGGUGGCGAAGGCGGAUCUCUGGGCCUUACCUGACGCUCAGGCGCGAAAGCUAGGGGAGCGAACAGG